rnacentral:lncRNA from 1 species
GCAUGGUUAUUCCAAUACGUAUGUUUGCCUCUUCCCCACCAUGAUCUCCGUUUGGUUUCCCCUUGCCUGAUAACUAUUUAAAUACAUUUUACUAACUUCGGAUUCCUUGCUCAUUUCACUUCACCUGGCUGGGCAGGUCUGCGAGGGCUCAAGGGUUAGCUCCUCCACUUUUGCUGUUUUAUUUAUUUUUCAGUCAUCAUUUUUAUUAAGAUAACCAUGUUCAGAAGAAGAGUCUGACACACAUAAAUAAUGGGAAGUGCUAAUAGUAAGCAGGUUGCUGUAAAACUUGCUGGGGCUUUGACUUAAGGGAAGAAAGUGCAACCCUGUGCUAUCCCUAUCAGGAAGCUGGAGCACAGAAGACUUAACAGGCCUGUUGGCAGGAUGGGGCAUUUGGAGGACAUUGGGAAAGGCAGUCCGGAGACCGGCUGGAAAUAACUGUUGGGUCCUUGCCAUUGAACCAGAAAGGGAAAGGUAG